GCUUGAAUCUUCUUUCUAGAAUGUCAGUUUAAACACCCUUUUACUUUGACUCCACUCCAAGGUAAUUGCCCCAAUUCAAACCCUAAAAAGGGCCCACGACGAGAAGUUUCCAACCCCUCUGGCGACUUCUGCAGAUUUUCUCUGCUUUAUUCCUCUUUCUUUGUUAAGGGAAACACUUAUUAUUAAGAAUUCAUCUACACACGAACAUAUAUACAUAUGCUACGCUUUUGAUUUCCACCAAAAACUUUUAUUUAAAUUAUAUUUCAACCAAUAACAUAUAAACACGUGAUUUCGUGCAGGGCUCGUUUUUAAUUGUUAAUUUCUUUGUUGCUAGACUUCUGAAUCUGUCUUAAAUCAUAAUCCUAUUGUGUUUUUUUUUUUUUUGUAUACAAGUGCAUUUUACUUUUUUUUUUACCCCUGACCCUGAUCCAAGCUUUUAGUUACCAUGUGAUGCCAUUAUCAGUGAGAUUUCUCCAUUAGUUAAACAGGACUUGCAGUCCACCUUUAUAGCCUUCCAAAGGCACAAUAUAUACCUGUCCGCAAGGAUGGGGACUUUACAUUCUCCAACAAAUCAUCGGAAUCAAAGUCUCAAUCAACACCAAAGAUGCCCACUUUAUCCAUAUUUAUUGUAAUUUGCGUUAGUGGUGGUGCAAAUCAGCAUCAGUUGGACAUUAUAAGACAAAUGUCGGCAUUAAUAAACCUGUAUUAUUGACAAUCAGCUAUAAGGUUUGAUCUAACAUUUUAAAUCGCUGCCAAUUUGUAGGAUGUUCCACAAAAUAGUCCCCCAGCUGAUACUGACAAUUCAGUGCCUAAGGGAGCUCAAGGGGAAGCUAAUAUUGAAUCCAAUGGUGGCAAGGGUGCAAUGGUAAAGGUAAGCCAUUGAUAAGCUGAAAGAUUCUAAAAGGUCUGAUGAUGAGCCCAAAGGCAUGGCUACAGAAGGAGAGGCAAGAGAUGAACCCAUACCGAAGUCCAAGUCUGACCGUAAAACAGAGGCCAUUGGGGAGACACGCAGGGACCGGGACAGGGAAAUAGAACGGGAUAGGGAUUGAGAAAGAGAUAGAGAUCGGGACAGGGACAGAACAAAAUCCAGAGAUAGAGAUCGAAGAAGGGAUUCUGACAAAGCGUGAACGAGAGGAAGCUGAGAGGGACAAACUCAAGGAUCGUGGUCACCGUUCUAGGGAGAGAGCAAAGGAUUCAGGUGUGUUUGUGGUACUGGAUGCAGGACAUUCUGAGAAAGUCAAAACGCCAUUCCUCGCAUGAUCGGGAUUCCCAUGUUUCCUCUUACUCGUCAAGGGAGAAGGAUCGACAUUGACAUUAUUUAGAAGAGAUAUUACAAGAUGCACCCGUUUCGGUGUCCAUGACACCUGUCAAAGUCGGUCAACUGAUCAAGCAUUGCACGUCCUUUGAUCUUAUAAUCAGUAACUGCUGCCUGUCAGGGGAAGUUUUUACAGAUAUAAACAAUUUAGGGCUCAUUUGGGGUCUUAUUUAACAAGUACUUAUGUAUACCUUUUUUUGUUUAUAGUCGAAGAGAGAAUAGAGUUAAAAUUAUUUUUAUAGUA